AACUUCUUCCAAACUGUUAAUGGUGACAUUCUGACCUCCUCCCAUGAAUCCUGAAUGGUCUUAACAGCAUCUAAAAUGAUGAUAGAUCCAUGAUGCAUAGUUACAGGAUAUGAGAAUUCACUGUGAAUCCCCCAACCACUGAGGAUGGUAUCACGAUGAGCAACGACCAUGCAGUCCCAUGAAAUGUCCCUCAGCAUCACAACCAGCAGCUCAUCCUGUCCUUUCCCUGCUCCAGCUAUGGAAUCUACCAUAUCUCCAAAGAAUCCUGGAAGAGCCUCUCCUGAGACAAAAUCAUAUAUCAGAAAACUAAUAAGACAGGAAAUUUAAGUACACGUUGAAAGAAAAAGAUACUUUGUUACACGAAGCUGAAGUCAGUGAAACUUGUAACAAGGCAGGCUCAAACAGAGGUACCAACUACAGAUACUGUCUAAUUGUAAAUGAACUACCAAGCAACUGUUAAAGGAAAGAAGUACAGA